UACGUAGGGUGCGAGCGUUAAUCGGAAUUACUGGGCGUAAAGCGUGCGCAGGCGGUUCGUUAAGUCAGAUGUGAAAGCCCCGGGCUUAACCUGGGAACUGCGUUUGAAACUGGGAGACUUGAGUGUGGCAGAGGGAGGUGGAAUUCCACGUGUAGCGGUGAAAUGCGUAGAGAUGUGGAGGAACACCGAUGGCGAAGGCAGCCUCCUGGGCCAAUACUGACGCUCAUGCACGAAAGCGUGGGGAGCAAACAGG
rnacentral:rRNA from 1 species